CUCCUUGCUUGUGUGCUCCCAUUGGGAUAAAUGAGGGACAUGAUGCUCCUCGGUGGUACCCAGACUGCUCAGAGCCCAUGGACUGAGGUUUGGGAACCUCAACCCUCGUGUCUCCUGUUCUUAUUUCCAUCUUUUCCUCUGUAACGAAUAGUUCUGCAGCUAAUUCCUGAUGGGACUAUUUAUAGCAGCCUGGUUCUCCCUCAUAGGUCUGUUUGCUGCUCCCUCCCUGCCUGCUCCUUUGGUAUAAAUAGAGAGCCAGGGAGGUUUGAAAGCUGGAACAGGGAACAGCCAGCAAGGGGUGAAUCCUUCUGUCCUGCUGCCCUCUGCUUGUUACACCCUCCCCUAUAGGCUCAGCCAAGCCUCUGAGGGUCCCUGCUGCUGUGCCAGACCCCCACUGUGCCUUCCUAUGGGAUGAUGCUCAUCUGGGGCCAGAAGAGGAGGCAGUGAACCCCAGGGAUGCACGAUGUGAUUCCCUGGUUAAAUGGAGCUGUCUGUGCCUGUCCUGGUGCAGGACAUCAGGAGCUCAGAGCAUCUCAGCACCAACAGCACAAUCCAGGAGCACCAAAUUGGCUUCUCCUCCAAGAAGGGAACCAAAAGCUUCACCUUCCCCCCGGAGAUGCCCAUUAACCAAUAGUUUCAUGGCUGGACACUCAUUUAGCACAAGCUGAACGCCUGCAGGCAGCUCUCGCUCCAUCCUGCAUGGAUUCAAGCAUCAGGCAUCCAGCUGAGCUGCUCAGCCCCUUGGAAGGGCUGCAUGGAUGAAAGGCAGCAGUGAGCGAACCCCAAGGAGCUGCAAGUGUUUCUGCAGCCAUAGAGGAAGAAAUAAUUACCAGCUCUGGGGCAGCAAGGGGAGAGCUGGGAAUGCU
rnacentral:lncRNA from 14 species